CUGCUCACUUUGGCAGCACAUGUACUAAAAUUGAAACAACAGAGAAAAGAUCAGCAUAACCCUCUCAUAAGGAUGACACAUAAAUACGUGAAGUAUUCCAUAAAAAG
ensembl:snRNA U6 U6 spliceosomal RNA